rfam:Nitrospirae bacterium GWF2_44_13 gwf2_scaffold_38, whole genome shotgun sequence.
GGUUACCUGCCCUGUUGGUGACAGAUGAAAAAGUUGAUCCGGCAAAUUAGAUCUUUAGGGAGUCUGAGUAAGGAGGACGGUGUGCAUGUCUCAUUAAUACUGAGAAAGCCUAAAGUUCCCUUCAAGACACCCACCUAUUUUAAGGGCGGAUCUGAUUAUUCAUUUGCACGGCAGGGUGGGUUAAUU